AGUGAACGCUGGCGGCAGGCCUAACACAUGCAAGUCGAACGGCAGCACAGUAAGAGCUUGCUCUUACGGGUGGCGAAUGGCGGACGGGUGAGGAAUACAUCGGAAUCUACUUUUUCGUGGGGGAUAACGUAGGGAAACUUACGCUAAUACCGCAUACGACCUACGGGUGAGAGCGGUGGAUCUUCUGACCUUGCGCGAAUGAAUGAGCCGAUGUCGGAUUAGCUAGUUGGCGGGGUAAAGGCCCACCAAGGCGACGAUCCGUAGCUGGUGUGAGAGGAUGGUCGGCGACACUGGAACGUGGACACGGUCCAGACGCCUACGGGAGGCAGCAGUGGGGAACAUUGGACAAUGGGCGCAAGCCUGAUCCAGCCAGCCCGCGUGGGUGAAGAAGGCCUUCGGGUUGUAAAGCCCUUUUGUGGGGAAAGAAAAGCAGCAGGUUAAUACGCCGCUGUUCUGACGGUACUCAAAGAAUAAGCACCGGCUAACUACGUG
rnacentral:rRNA from 1 species